GGUUAAGUGACUAAGCGUACACGGUGGAUGCCUUGGCAGUCAGAGGCGAUGAAAGACGUAGUAACUUGCGAUAAGCCCAGAUUAGGUAGUAACAACCAUUUGAGUCUGGGAUUUCUGAAUGGGGAAACCCACGUGCAUAAGCACGUAUCCUUACCUGAAUACAUAGGGUAAGGAGGCGAACCGGGGGAACUGAAACAUCUAAGUACCCGAGGAAAAGAAAUCAACCGAGAUUCCGAAAGUAGCGGCGAGCGAAAUUGGACUAGCCCUUAAGCUUUACACGCGUUAGACGAACGGUCUGGAAAGUCCGACGAUACAGGGUGAUAGUCCCGUAGUUGACGACGUGUGUUCAGUGAAAUCGAGUAGGGCGGGACACGUGAUAUCCUGUCUGAAUAUGGGGGGACCAUCCUCCAAGGCUAAAUACUACUGACUGACCGAUAGUGAACCAGUACCGUGAGGGAAAGGCGAAAAGAACCCCUGUGAGGGGAGUGAAAUAGAACCUGAAACCGUGUACGUACAAGCAGUAGGAGCAGGCUUUGUCCUGUGACUGCGUACCUUUUGUAUAAUGGGUCAGCGACUUAUAUUCAGUGGCAAGGUUAACCAUCUAGGGGAGCCGUAGGGAAACCGAGUCUUAACUGGGCGUUCAGUCUCUGGAUAUAGACCCGAAACCAGGUGAUCUAGCCAUGGGCAGGUUGAAGGUUGAGUAACAUCAACUGGAGGACCGAACCGACUAAUGUUGAAAAAUUAGCGGAUGACUUGUGGCUAGGGGUGAAAGGCCAAUCAAACCUGGAGAUAGCUGGUUCUCCCCGAAAGCUAUUUAGGUAGCGCCUCGGACGAAUACUACUGGGGGUAGAGCACUGUUAAGGCUAGGGGGUCAUCCCGACUUACCAACCCUUUGCAAACUCCGAAUACCAGUAAGUACUAUCCGGGAGACACACGGCGGGUGCUAACGUCCGUCGUGGAGAGGGAAACAACCCAGACCGCCAGCUAAGGUCCCAAAUUACUACUAAGUGGGAAACGAUGUGGGAAGGCUCAGACAGCCAGGAUGUUGGCUUAGAAGCAGCCAUCAUUUAAAGAAAGCGUAAUAGCUCACUGGUCGAGUCGGCCUGCGCGGAAGAUGUAACGGGGCUAAGUAGUAAACCGAAGCUGCGGCAAUGUGCUUUUGCACAUUGGGUAGGGGAGCGUUCUGUAAGCGGUUGAAGGUGUGUGGUAACGCAUGCUGGACGUAUUAGAAGUGCGAAUGCUGACAUGAGUAACGAUAAAGGGGGUGAAAAACCUCCUCGCCGGAAGACCAAGGGUUCCUGUCCAACGUUAAUCGGGGCAGGGUAAGUCGACCCCUAAGGCGAGGCCGAAAGGCGUAGUCGAUGGGAAACGGGUUAAUAUUCCCGUACUUCUUACAAUUGCGAUGGGGGGACGGAGAAGGCUAGGUGGGCCUGGCGACGGUUGUCCAGGUUCAAGUGCGUAGGCUUAAGAGUUAGGUAAAUCCGGCUCUUUUUAAGGCUGAGACACGACGUCGAGCACCUACGGGUGUGAAGUCAUUGAUGCCAUGCUUCCAGGAAAAGCCUCUAAGCUUCAGAUUGUAAGGAAUCGUACCCCAAACCGACACAGGUGGUCGGGUAGAGAAUACCAAGGCGCUUGAGAGAACUCGGGUGAAGGAACUAGGCAAAAUGGUACCGUAACUUCGGGAGAAGGUACGCUCUUGAUGGUGAAGUCCCUUGCGGAUGGAGCUGACGAGAGUCGCAGAUACCAGGUGGCUGCAACUGUUUAUUAAAAACACAGCACUGUGCAAAAUCGUAAGAUGACGUAUACGGUGUGACGCCUGCCCGGUGCCGGAAGGUUAAUUGAUGGGGUUAGACUUCGGUCGAAGCUCUUGAUCGAAGCCCCGGUAAACGGCGGCCGUAACUAUAACGGUCCUAAGGUAGCGAAAUUCCUUGUCGGGUAAGUUCCGACCUGCACGAAUGGCGUAAUGAUGGCCACGCUGUCUCCACCCGAGACUCAGUGAAAUUGAAAUCGCUGUGAAGAUGCAGUGUACCCGCGGCUAGACGGAAAGACCCCGUGAACCUUUACUACAGCUUGGCACUGAACAUUGACCCUACAUGUGUAGGAUAGGUGGGAGGCUUUGAAGCACGUACGCCAGUAUGUGUGGAGCCGUCCUUGAAAUACCACCCUUGUAGUGUUGAUGUUCUAACGUCGACCCCUUAUCGGGGUUGCGGACAGUGCCUGGUGGGUAGUUUGACUGGGGCGGUCUCCUCCCAAAGAGUAACGGAGGAGCACGAAGGUGGGCUAAUCACGGUUGGACAUCGUGAGGUUAGUGCAAUGGCAUAAGCCCGCUUGACUGCGAGAAUGACAAUUCGAGCAGGUGCGAAAGCAGGUCAUAGUGAUCCGGUGGUUCUGAAUGGAAGGGCCAUCGCUCAACGGAUAAAAGGUACUCCGGGGAUAACAGGCUGAUACCGCCCAAGAGUUCAUAUCGACGGCGGUGUUUGGCACCUCGAUGUCGGCUCAUCACAUCCUGGGGCUGAAGUCGGUCCCAAGGGUAUGGCUGUUCGCCAUUUAAAGUGGUACGCGAGCUGGGUUUAGAACGUCGUGAGACAGUUCGGUCCCUAUCUGCCGUGGGCGUUGGAAGAUUGAAGGGGGCUGCUCCUAGUACGAGAGGACCGGAGUGGACGAACCUCUGGUGUUCGGGUUGUGUCGCCAGACGCAUUGCCCGGUAGCUAAGUUCGGAAUCGAUAACCGCUGAAAGCAUCUAAGCGGGAAGCGAGCCCUGAGAUGAGUCUUCCCUGAUACUUUAAGUAUCCUAAAGGGUUGUCGGAGACUACGACGUUGAUAGGUCAGGUGUGUAAGUGCUGUGAGGCAUUGAGCUAACUGAUACUAAUUGCCCGUGAGGCUUAACCAU
rnacentral:rRNA from 1 species